UUUCAAUUCAGCAAUCUGCGAAAGAGUUUAUGAGAAAAACAAUCUUUUAUAUUGUGAUCACAGACCUGGAGUUGCUGUGGCAAUAUCGAGUAACCAAGACACAACCUCCUUCAACUCAGACAACAGCUCAUUCUUGAUAAAUCUUCAGCAAAGAAGAAUGCAAAUGAGCUACGUGGAACAAAUCAGAAGACAAGAAGGAGUCUUGUGUAUCCUGAAGGCGACACAACUCAAGAUGCAUCAUUUUCAGUAGUUGCUAAGAAAAGCAAACCCAACCCUGCAGAAGAAAAACUUGUUGAAGAAAUUGAUGAACUGAAGUCCACAAAUAGGAAACUUGAAGACACAAUUACUUUUUUACUUUUACGACUUGAAAGAGAUUUGAAGAAUAAAGAAGACGAAAAUGAGGAACUGACAGAUACUUUGGAAAUUCUACGCUCGUGGUACGAAGAGCCACGAGAGUUAGCACAGCAAAUGAAAGAUAUUCUCCUUCAUCUUAAUGACGUUAUUUCUAACUUGAAUAGACGACCGGAAGCAUUACCUCCUACACCAUCUGCGAGUCCUUCUCAGUCGGCUGCUAAGUGGAUGGUUCAUCCAUUCGAUGGUGACAUAAUGAUCGAGUACAAUGCUCUGCGAGAUGCACCGAAAGAACCAAGAAGAAGAAUUUAAAAGGGCAGCAGCAAAACGUUGAAGAUGACAUAUUUGGUGGUGAAGCUACUAAUAACAAUGGAUUGUUUGAUAACAACCAGCAAACAGGACAAAAUGAAACAGCCUAAGUUUAUUUUACGCAUACAUUUUACGUGUCCUGCCAUUUUGUGCUCGAGUUCGAUUUUAUUAUCUCCUAUUGAUUGAUUUUCACGUGUUUUAAUUCCUUUAUUUCAUGCCGUGCGAAAUGUUUUUAUAGUUUAUUGAACGUACGUCCUAUUUCCCACUAGUUGUUCACACUUGUGUGAAUUUUACCUUACUGCCUUAAUUGCUGCCCUCGAUUCUGUUUUAAAAACCAAGUUUCUUAAA